ensembl:lncRNA
GUGAGUGUUAAAUGCCUUUUUUGUUUGCUACAGCGAGGAACAAUUUAAGGAGACUUGGGCUCUGGUUUUGUGAGGGUAAGCCUGGAUCACACGGCAUUGCUUUAUUUUUCAACCUGGCAUGCAGAUUGUUACAGCCGUGCACUGUGAGCGACAGCUAAGGCCAGCCAGUCACUGGAACCACAGGCUGAUGGACGGUUAAGCAGUUGGAGGGGUGCCAGCAGGGCUCAGACAGGUAGGAGCUACGCCAAGGCUGUUCCUCGACCAUCCAUCCUGCAGGAUGACACACCAGCGCCUGCUAGCUUCUAUUAUGGCUCCUUCUCUUCCUCUCCUGAAUAGAGCAAAUUUGAUUUGGCCUCUGCAAAAGCACUUUUCACCACAUAAAAGCUCAUUACUGUGAUGGAAAAGUGGCAUUCAAGGUAAAGCUGGUUGGGUGAAGCGAGGACAACGUGAACAUGGUGAAAACACAGGGCUCACACUUGUUCAGUUAGUAUGAGUGUAUUCUGUUUCUCUCUUCUUGUUCAUGAACUUGUGCCUAGCCAUUUACAGAUUUAUAGUGCAAUAACAGGUUCUUGUACUGCUUUUGUACACUGUUAAGGACUUAAAGGAACACUUCAGUAUUUUCAACUUAAAUAGCUGGUGUGUGGCUGCCGUCACACCAUCCAGGUUGAUGCUACACACUAGUGGUGGUUGAGGUGACACCCCUCCCCCAUACUGUGUAAAGCACUUUGAGAGUCUAGAAAAGCACUAUAUAAAUGUAACUAAAAAAAUGUCUUUAUUCACUGCAUGUGUAUUCAACUCAAAAUAUAUGGAUUAAUACAAAUUUCAACAUAUUUCUCUGUACUGACGAAUGAAAAGAAAACCUGUUUACCUGAAACUCACUUAUAAUGGAAGUCUAAGGGCAGUUGUUCUGGUAGUGAAUAACCCUUUACGUGAAAUACUUUCAUGAAUUCAUCGGUCAAAGCUAUUCAUAAAUUCAGCUCCAAAUGUGUAUAAAUGUGAUUUUAUUUUUUCGGUGAGAAGUACGUCAGAUGCCUCUUAGUUCUGUUCUCAGUACAGGGAGCUGGCUUAAAAUUAUUUUUGCAUAGUUAUCACAUCUACUAUGUAGAGAUUAUCAUUAAAAACCCUGCAGUAUUUCUUUAAUAUAUUUGCUCCAUGUCCAGUACAGUCAGGAACUGGGAGUUGGCAGCAGUCGAUGCAAGUGCAGAUUUAUUAGUGAACGGUGCAAACAAACAACAAAAACACUGAAAACAAGAACCAAAAACUAGAGUUACGAGGCAAAACGUCUGGGUUACGCAUGCAACCCUGUUCUCUGAGAUGGGAACGAGACAUUGCAUGAGCUUCACGCUGUGGGAAGUGCCCUCACGCAUGACCGGUAUCUGAAGUCUGUGUAAAAUCAUAACUAUAAAAUGGUGCCUGUGAACCACGUCAUCAGCCUCUAUUAUCUGAAGCAAAGACGCGAUUCACAGGCAUGCCCCAGUAUGAAAAAGCUAUGCAAUGGCUUAUUCCCUUCUCAGGGAACAGGGUUACAUUUACCCCAGACAUUCCCUUUCAUACUGAGGGUAUGGCUGUCAUGGUGAACUGGAAACUCCUAGAGAGGGCCGUCCAGCAGAGAUAUUAUCUCCAAUAACCAAAUUUGAGCUAGCCAAUCCAGUGCUAUCAGCAGCAGACAUAGCACGGUCUUGGCGAACUCUCACUAGAGCCUGUGGAAGGAGAGUGAUCGGGGGAAAGGCGUACAGAUGUGACCUCAGCCACAUGUGUUCCAUGGUGUCCAGCCCUGUCCUUUUUAUUUAUUUAUUUUUUGGUGCAGGAGGAGUGAGGGCGAAAAACAGCGGGCAGCGUGUUGUCUCCUCAGAAGUGAACACGUCCUCUUCCGCUCGGCCGCACCUCCGCCAUAUGGACUCACCCACUUGUGGAUGGAGCCUCCAGUCCCCAGGCCUCAGCCUCUGCAUCAACAGGAUGUCUGCCCCAACAUUCCAGUAGCCCGGAAUAUACAUUGCACUCACUGACCAAACUUCCCCUCUACCAGAGAAGAAUUAGUUGAGUCUGCCUGAAAAGGGGGCGUGAACGUAAUGCUCCCUGGUGGUUGAUAUAUGAGACCACCGCUGUGUUGUCUAACACAUGGUGACCUCUCAACUGACGAGAAGAAAUUCAGUGCUAGGAGUACAGCCCACACUUCGAGGCGAUUUAUAUGCCACACUAGAUGAGGGCUGCACCACAGACCAUGAGGGAGGUGUCUGACAUUACCGUCUUGUGAUAAGAGAUGCCGCUAGAGUGUGACCUGAGGGACACUUCCUAGUUCUCAGAACAUGUAAAAAUCGCCGCCUGACACUGAUUACUCCCAGGGGUUUCGUCCUCUGAUGAAACCCCCGACCUUCAGCCACAAAUGAACGGUUUCAUGUGCGUUGGGCCCAAUGGUAUGACAUUGGCUGCUGCUGACAUAAGCUCCAACAGUCUCCGUAGAGACUGGAGGGGAUGCCAAGUCUAUCUUGCUCAAUGUUGAUAGGAUUUGCCCUGCGUGUGUUGGGGAUAGACAUGCCCUCAUUGUAUUCGAAUCCCAGCUCUUGUCUGGAGAACCAACUGUUCCUGAGGUUCAACCUGAGCCCCAAGCUCUUCAUGUGGAUGAGAACAACAUCUUGAUGUUGAACUUUUUGGACCGCACUAGAAUUAACCAGUCGUCCAGGUAGUUUAGCACACGGAUAAUCUGGAGUCGCAAAGGAACCAACGCGAAAUCCAUACAUUUCCUGAAGGUGCGAGGGGAUAAAGCUAGCGAAUGGAAGAACCAAUAUUGAUAUGCGUUGCCUCCAAACGAGAACCUCAGGAAUUUCCUGUGACUGGGCAAUGGAAUAUGCACCUUUUUUUAGAUCUAUCCUCACAAACCAAUCCUCAAACUGAGUCUGUGGAACGAUAAGGUUGAGCGUCAACAUCCUGGACCUGUAUGUCCAAAGAUUAUGGAUCAGAUGGCACAGAUCUAAAAUUCUAUAUCCAUAUAUCCCGUCUUUUCUGUGGACUAGGAAAUAACGGCUGUAAAACCCCCCUGCCUCAGAGAAAGAGGUACAUGUUAUAUGGCACCUUUGUCCAAGAGAGAUCCACUUCUUGGGCUAACAUCGGGCUCUGCAUUGUGCUGUCUAUUGUGGGAGGUGUCGAGCUAUGAACUGGGCCCGGAACCCUUUUCUAUGGAAGACAGAACCCAUGGAGACACAUUUGGCUGUAGUUUCCAUGCUGCCAGAUGGUCUCUAGUGACGUUAACUUUCCACAUUUUGUUGGAGGGAAAGCAUCAGAUUUUCCUUGCCCUGUGACAGCUCGCUGACCAGAGAAAACUGAAAACUUGGGACGACAUUGACUAGGGGAGCACUACAGUAAUACUGGGGGCUAACUGUCCUAACAACCUCUCGUCCCCUGAUACCUCCCUCCGCAGCCCUUCAGGACUGCUUCUUUUUGUCUUUUUGGCACUGAUUAUCAUUUAAAAUCAGGCCUACUAGCAGGCUGCAACUGUGGCUGCCCGGUCCCCCUGGCUUUCUGCAGGUGGAGGCAGGCUGCCACACUCACCUUCUGUGCCCCCUAGCAAUUCAGCAGUUCUGCCUGGUAGGCCUGCAACACUGCCAUUUUUGCUGAUACCCACAAGCAAGUCUUGCUGCCAUGUAGGCUUCACCAACCAACGAAUAGGUGGUCUUACACGGCCUGGAUGGCAAAGCUGGCCUCCUGAUUUUGCUGGCAUCGAUGGAGAGAGGUGGCUCGCAAGUGCCUCCUGUACCUUCGGCAUAGCAAAAUAGCUGUAAUGUUUAUCCCCCAUGAUGGCCGAAUAAUCCAACGUCGCAGGGUCAUAAACAGGGAGCUUCCCACAGCGUGAAGUUCAAGCAACGUUGAGUUCCCUUUGAAAGGGAACAUAAAGACUAUGAUAGAGACUAAGGUACACACCAACACACAAAAGCUUGACAACCAGAUGCUGAAACAUAGUCCCUGCGUCCCAAUUGGCAUACAUAAAAGUAUGUACUCUAUUUGUUAAGAAAUUUUCCAAAUUUCAUUCACACCUCUUUAAAAUGCUUCCUUGAAUUUGGUGAAGCAAACCUUCACAAAACUUUUCCUCCCUCGUGCAAGGGAUUAUGGGUAAUAGCUGAAAAAAUGUCCACGGAUCCACACUUCAAAAAUCUACCAUAAAUUGUAGACCAUCCAGGUACUAAUUUCACUAUAUUACCAUUUGGGACACACUAAUUCUGUACACGCUAGUACUGAUAGUAUACCAGUUGGGACGCAGGGAAUGACUUAUAUAACGGUUAUCAGGCUGAGAUGAGACACACGUGUGAGUGAUUGAAAACAUGUGACAUUCCGGUGCUGAUGGAAAGUGUAGUUCAACGCCCUUUGGGUGCCAUCAUGACACUUCACUUUCAGUUAGAGUCCACUCUUGUUAAAUGCUGCACGUUUAAAUUGUAUUACAACUGCCUUCUCUUUCUCUCAUCAGAAUUUUUAUAUUUAUUAUUAAGCUUUAUAUGUGCUUAAAACAACCCUUAAAGGUAAAAUCAACCUUGAACAUUUUGCAUUUUUCUCUUAUUAAUAAUUAACAUGUGAGCUUCAGUGACAUCAAAGAUUGAUUUUGCAAUGAAAUUCUGAGUUGUUUUUUAUUUCUUCAUUAACAUGUUGGUCUGUUUCCUUUUGGUUAACAGUUUCCUUCCCACAAUGCUGUUCAUUUCCAGUACCUGCUGAUAAUGGUGCAGUAGGAUUUAGGCCUUGCUUCAGCUCUAUGUCAGGACUGAUGAAGCAGCACUUCAGUCUUUUAGUCUGUUAGUCUGUUCAGCUCUCUCACCUUCUCACCUUGUACACUCUGCUCAAACAGCUCCAGUUUCAAAGCUUCGAUAUUCAUGCUAAUACCGUUGUCAAUGCCGCCAUGCUUGUCAUCUCAUAGAUCACUAACUAGCCAAAAUGAAUCUCUGACAUAACUUAGCGUAAUUGUUUCGUACAACUGCAUUGCCUUCUGGAACUUUGAGUCCACUUUUUUAUCUUGCUCUUUUGUUUUUAGGUUCAAACUUGAUCGUUUUUCUUUAUGUUUGAGAUUGCUGAAUUUUUUUCUGUGACAUCAGCACUUCACACAACCACUAACUUUCAUGCUCAUGAGAACAACAAUAAUACAGCAUCCACCAAAAAAAAAUCAUCAGAAUUGCUAGGCACAUUACAAAUAUUUUAAUAUAAACAUAUUUAAUGUAGUUUAGGGUGGACAUUUCCUUUAAGCUUUCUGCUAUAGUGAAAUGGUACACCUGUAUAAACAACUAUAGACACCAUAUCACAACUUUGGUAUGUAUUUUGUCUGAAUAGACCUUUGGUUUUCACCAGCAGGAUAGCAAAGACGUGCUUGCUUGGGUAAUAUUGGAGUGAAAUAUAGUAUUUUAGUCAAUGGCUUGUGUCCGGCGCGAUGCCCAGAUGGGUCCGGUGAGACUGACUCAGGCCAGGCAGCCCAUGUCAUUCUGGGCAUGGCCAUGUGGUCAGCCUAGCCAAGAUAUUCCCAUGGUUCACUAGUGCCCGUUUACCAAACAGUGCCAAACCAGCACAGGCCAAGCUUAAUACAGAAUGUGUAUAAGUACAAGCAGCUGUAGGGAAGCUGGCAGCGAGGUGAGGUCCUGCCUCAUGUGAAGGGAUCACUGAGUAACUCCAGGAGAGAGAGAGCGAAAGGGGGGGUUAGAAAACACAGAGGAUCUGGGCCUGGUUGUGCUGGCAGGUUAAAUAUCUCCAGGCUAGGAGUGCAGUGAGGGCAUAUGGCCUGUGGUGAAAAAAAAGAGAAGCCCAGCACACAUGUGGCUUUCACAUCACUGCUCUUUAACUUGCUCUCGCUCUCUUGUGACCAUUAUCUGCUUGGUAUUUGAACCUCCUGCCACCUGCAUUGGCAUGUUGAUUUGCUUCCAGGCUCCUGCAUGGAAGGGCAGUGUCUUCAGUUUUUUUCUUUUUUCACAUUGUUUGUUUGAUGCUGUGAGGAGAUAUGAGCUGAAUGGUUGUCCCUUUCCAAACACAAAGGCUGUAAAAAUUCACCCCCUAUGUGAGGGUUGCCACUGUUUGACCACAAUAUCCACUCCCUUCCUGUAGCCUACUAUACUCAAGGAAGAAUAGCACAAGGAAAGAAAUCUACCUCUUGUAAUUACUAUUAUAAUGAUAAAUGUAAAUACCAAUUAACACAGACAACCAUUCUAGAGUAAUCUGGAACACUCUCAUUGUGAAAUGAGAUGUAGGUUAUGAAGUACCAGGCCAAAGUGGAGCAUCUCCUAGAAGUAGCUUAUUAAAUAAUGCCCAACUAAUUGCUUUGUCUUCCUUUUGUCCUGCUGGUGUACAUGUUAUUAAGCGUGUUUCAUAUAUCUUAGAAUAAUGAGGAAGACACGCCUGGCACCUGCAUGCUGUAAUUAAACAUAUAAAUUCUCUCCUUGCAGAAUUAUUUGUGGUCACGAACUGAUUUAUACAGCUUGCUAAAUUGCAAUGUUGAGCUUAUUUUCUUUCCCUGAAAGAGCUGGAGAAAGGAACCUCAUUCAUCAGGCACCUUUGCCAGAAUAAGCUUCUCUA